rnacentral:rRNA from 1 species
UACGGGAGGCAGCAGUGGGGAAUAUUGCACAAUGGGCGCAAGCCUGAUGCAGCCAUGCCGCGUGUAUGAAGAAGGCCUUCGGGUUGUAAAGUACUUUCAGUCGUGAGGAAGGUGUUAAGGUUAAUAACCUUAGCAAUUGACGUUAGCGACAGAAGAAGCACCGGCUAACUCCGUGCCAGCAGCCGCGGUAAUACGGAGGGUGCGAGCGUUAAUCGGAAUUACUGGGCGUAAAGGGCACGCAGGCGGUUAAUUAAGUUGGAUGUGAAAUCCCCGGGCUUAACCUGGGAAUGGCAUUCAAGACUGGUUAGCUAGAGUCUUGUAGAGGGGGUAGAAUUCCAUGUGUAGCGGUGAAAUGCGUAGAGAUGUGGAGGAAUACCGGUGGCGAAGGCGGCCCCUGGACAAGACUGACGCUCAUGUGCGAAGCGUGGGGAGCAAACAGGGAUUAGAUACC